UACGAAGGGUGCAAGCGUUACUCGGAAUUACUGGGCGUAAAGCGUGCGUAAGUGGUUCGUUAAGUCUGAUGUGAAAUCCCCAGGCUCAACUUGGGAACUGCGUCUGAUACUGGAUGGCUUGAAUUCGGGGAGAGGGAUGCAGAAUUCCAGGUGUAGCGGUGAAAUGCGUAGAUAUCUGGAGGAAUACCGGUGGCGAAGGCGGCAUCCUGGACCGGCAUUGACGCUGAGGAGCGAAACCAGGGGAGCAACGGG
rnacentral:rRNA from 1 species